CCCACACUCACGUUCUAACAGCAAGGUAGCAAGCAGGACCUCUCCUCCCUCUCUCAAACACUCUCUUUUCCACCCAAAAUCCCCCUCAUGCACUUGGAAUCCAGCACUUUGUACAUCUCCUCUUGAAGCUUCUCCCAUUGAAUUCUUCCCAAAUCAACAGCCACAAGCCUUGGAAAAGCACAUUGGGUUGGCAAGCGAGGAAAGGUUAGCUUCAGGCUACUUCAUGUCCGCCGGUGCCGGUGGUGGGCAAGAUUAGUGUCGUCUACUCAUUGGCGAGGUUUGGUUGGAGCCUAAGGGCAUAUGGCUCCACCUGUUGUUGUUAGGUUUCUUCCACUGUGUAGUUUUAUCCGUUUGAUGUAAAUUGUUGUAAAUCUGUUUUUGCUUAAGAAUUUGUAAUAUAAUGUUAAUUACUCACUUUUUAUUAAGUUGUGUUGUGAUAUUGAA